ACUUCCGCUUCCGUGCCGACGCAAAGAACCAAAGAAAAAUGGCGAAGGCCGCGGAUAAGACCGGCAGUGGAGGGAAGAAAAAUCUGAAAAGGAAAGCCGUUACCGAAGAACCGCAGGAGGCUACGGUCGCUGGGGAUGAGGCGACAGAAAGUGGGGUUCAGCCCGCGAAAGCGGCUGCGUUUCCCCCAGGUUUCAGCAUUUCCGAGAUUAAGAACAAACAGCGGCGACACUUAAUGUUCACGCGGUGGAAACAGCAGCAGCGCAAGGAAAAGUUGGCAGCUAAGAAAAAACUUAAAAAACAGAGAGAGGCUCUUGGUGAUAAGGCUCCACCAAAGCCUGUACCCAAGACCAUUGACAACCAGCGCAUGUAUGAUGAAACCAUAGUAGACCCUAAUGAUGAAGAGGUUGCUUAUGAUGAAGCUACAGAUGAAUUUGCUUCUUACUUCAACAGACAAACUUCUCCCAAGAUUCUCAUCACAACAUCAGAUAGACCUCAUGGGAGAACAGUAAAACUUUGUGAACAGCUCUCCACAGUUAUACCAAACUCACAUGUUUAUUACAGAAGAGGACUGGCUCUGAAAAAAAUUAUUCCACAGUGCAUUUCAAGAGAUUUCACAGAUCUGAUUGUUAUUAAUGAAGAUCGUAAAACACCAAAUGGACUGAUUUUGAGUCACUUGCCAAAUGGUCCAACUGCUCAUUUUAAAAUGAGCAGUGUUCGUCUUCGUAAAGAAAUUAAGAGAAGAGGCAAGGACCCCACAGAACACAGACCUGAAAUAAUUCUGAAUAAUUUUACAACACGGCUAGGUCAUUCUAUUGGUCGUAUGUUUGCUUCUCUCUUUCCCCAUAAUCCUCAGUUUAUUGGAAGGCAAGUUGCUACAUUCCAUAAUCAGCGGGAUUAUAUCUUCUUCAGAUUUCACAGAUACAUAUUCAAGAGUGAAAAGAAAGCAGGAAUUCAGGAACUUGGACCACGUUUUACCUUAAAAUUAAGAUCUCUUCAGAAAGGAACCUUUGAUUCUAAAUAUGGAGAAUAUGAAUGGGUCCAUAAGCCCCGGGAAAUGGAUACAAGUAGAAGAAAAUUUCAUUUGUAAAGUACUGAGGGGAUAACUUGGAUUUUGCUGAACAGGCCUAUCUUGAACUUGGUAAAUUAUUUCUGAUGGAAUACCCUUUUCAAAAUGGCAUUUACUGAUUUCAAAAACUCCCUUUCAUGUCUGGACAAAAAUGACCAAGUACCCUGGACUGCCAUUGUUUAUAUAGUAAAUGAGUAAAGUAUAAAUAUAUGAAUACAAAGACACAUCAAAAAGUUCAUGGAAAAGGGAAUUCAAAGAUGAACUUAUGAAGGUGGGCACUUGGCACAGCUGUCAAGACACUGCCUGAAAUGUCUACAUCCUAUAUACAGUGUCUGGAUUCAAGACUCCGCACCUCUUCCGUUUGCAGCUUCCUGCUAAUGGGAACCCUGUGAGACAGCAGUGAUGCCUCAAGUACUUGUGUCCCUACCACCCACAUGAGAGAUCUGGACUGAGUUCUGGGGUCCUGGCUUUGGAUUGGCCACGCCUCAGCUGCUCCAGGCAUUUGGGAAACAAAGCAGCAGAUACAGGAUCUGUCUGUCUGUCUGUCUCUCUUUCUCUAUUUAUUUGACAAGCAGAAUUUACUGAGAGAGAUCUUCUGUCUCCUGGUUCACUCUCCCAAAAGGCUGCAAAGACCAGGGCCCAGGGCCAGGACCUUCUUUUGGUCUCCCACAUGGGUGCAGGGGCCUAAACACUUGGGCUAUCCUCCACUGCUUUCCCAGGCACAUUGGAAAUGGAGCAUCCAGGACUCAGACCAGCACCCUUAUGGGAUGCAGGUGUCACAGGCCAUGAAUUUAACUGCUAUGCGACAGCACCAGCCCCACAAAGAUACUUUUAAUGGGGUAUGUUUGAUGCCAAAAAUUAACCCAUAUUGGUUUUUCAUAAUACUUAUUUUCCAUAAACUUUGAAGACACUGCAUAGACCUUCAUCACACUGUAGCUUCAAAUUUGGAAACAAAUCUCUAAUAUUCAAUGAAGUACAACUGAUACAACUACUAGAACUUUAUGAAAAAUGUUUCAUGAAAUAGGUAGUUUUUAAAUGUUUUUAUAAAGCAGAAUGAAAAACUCCACAUACCUUUAUUCUUUAAAAAUAUUAUAAAGAAAUGUCGGCCGGCGCCGCAGCUCACUAGGCUGAUCCUCCGCCUUGUGGCGCCAGCACACCGGGUUCUAGUCUUGGUUGGGGCGCCGGAUUCUGUCCCAGUUGCCCCUCUUCCAGGCCAGCUCUCUGCUGUAGCCAGGGAUUGCAGUGGAGGAUGGCCCAAGUACUUGGGCCCUGCA